rnacentral:misc_RNA from 1 species
AACAUCGCGCACCUGCGGGAACCUGCGGAAGGAUCAUUAACAGUUAUCCACCAUCAUGGAUAAUUUUAUCCAUAUCCACCUUGUGUGCAUCUCCGAAGCGUUUGUUGGCAGGUUUAAGACUCCUUUCUCUCUAACAGAGAGUGAGUCUGUGGGGUUUGAUAGCUCGGCCUGCCAAUUUUCUUGUUUAAACAUGUCUCAAUAGUAUUUGGUCUGAAAUAAAUUAUUUUGUAUAACAAAAUA